UCUUCAAGUUUGCACCAUGUUUUAAACUUCAUACUUGUAUAUACAGAGUUAGCUAACCCUUUAAUAAGUAGCACAUUUCUGUAUGUGAAUUUGUGUUGGCAUACUGUUGAUCUCUUUUAAUAUUGCAGCACCUGCCAAAUUUAGUCACAUUGGAAGAUGAUGUUGUUAUUGUUGCUUGUCUCAUGGAACAACACGGGUUAUUUACUUUUAAUAUUGCAGGGUCUGCCAAAUUUAGUCACAGUUAAAGAUGUUAAUGCUGAUGCUGUUUUUGUUGCUUGCCUCAUGGAAGAACACAUGGUUCUUCUAUCAGGAAAUUAUUAGAGAUCUACCGUACCCAAGCAGAUUGUUGAUCUCUCCGCGGAUUUCCUGUUGCGUGACAUCAAUGAGUAUGAAGAGUGGUAUGCCCAUGCUCAUAGGGCACCGGAACUUCAGGGUUUGAGACCCGUUUUCCAUGCCCCCUUCCUCGAUCUGUGGCUAUGCCGUUCUUAAGCUGGAGCGGCUGUGUUCUUGUACAGGUUUGUGCUUGUGUCUGGUUAUUGCUAGGGGAAUAGUGGACAGGUUUGCUCUCUUCCCCUGAAUCAUUUUUUGUAAAUAGGACCAAUCUUAUAUGAUUAUACAGCUUACUUGAUUAUUCGCUCUUCCCUGCUGGAAUGCAGUGAUUAAUUAAGCACAUGUAAUUUUCGCCAGCUGUAUUGAGGCCAUCUCACAGUGAACUAUAUGCUGAUAAAUUAGAAGGCAACUUUUCAAACCGUAUAAAAUAUUUUGUAUACAAUAUUAUUAGGUAGAGCUCAUUGCCUACUGUAUUUCACUAUUGUUUUGUUUGGGAGAGUAUCUUCGGGUUGCAUGGAUGGAAAUAGUUUCUUUGCAAAGGCGAUCAUUAUUAUCCGUUAACAUUACUUGUUCUGAAGUUACUCAUAGUGCGUUAACACGCAGAGCUUCUGAUUUAAUUCCCAUGGCCAAAUCACGGAACAUAGUCUUGAGUUUUGUGAGAUCAGUAACACUGUUUACUGAGUCACUCCUAUCUAUUUGUCUUUUUAGUACACAAUAUUAAAGGGUUAAGUUCAAGAACGUGCUUAUAGCUGUUGCAAAUGCUGGAGCGAUGCCUGAAGAUUCAUUACCUGGCAAAUUAUUUGCUUUAGUUGCCUGGUCAAAUACAUAUUUUGUUACGGCGCCCACCCUUCCUAUGUGUCUCUAUUGUUGCUUAUUUGUUUGGCCUUGUGUGCUAGCAGAACUGUUUUAUUCCAAUUAUUUUUUUGGAUGGUGUGCUUUAUACAUCCAAAUGUGAGCCUCAUCCAGCCAAGCAAGUCCUGCAGCCUACUGCUUGGAUCUGGUUGCGUGGUUCAGAGAUGGUAUUCAUUUUGUCGUCUUCUAUUCAUUUCAUGACAUUGUCAUUCGUGGCUUGGAUUCAACUUGCUCUUUGUCUUUAGGCUGGUUUUUUUUAGAGCUAAUAUGUGAGUUUUUUCUUUUCAAAUUUCUUUCUGAAUCUACUAAUUUUUGUGAUAGUUGAUGCAGUAAACAGCUAUUGUGCAUAAUCAUUAGUUGUAGGUUUAACUCUCAUGCACGAAACAAAUAUUGCUGUAUGAAUUUAUAUGCUUACUGUAUGGAUGUGAAACUAAUGUUUUCUUCUGCUUUUUUAUAUGAAAAUCUUCUCUUAAUCUUGCAGGUUAUAUUACUAUUUAAAUUUGCUACUCAUUCUGAUCCAACGAAACUAAACCAGUGGGUUUGAAAUUGCCGUUCAUGUCGGGUUAGCAUUUGUCCAUAUCUGUAGCAAUAACCUUAUUGGUUGUGUUCAGUUCUUAGUGCUUAUAGUUCAAAGCAACUGCUAUGUUUUGUGGCUGUUGCAAGGUGCUUCUUGGCUGGAAGAUGGUGGUCAGGCUAGCUGCCAAUUAAAUUUGCUGGAAGAUAUCUCAUUAAUUGCUUCAAAAUUUCUAGCACGUUUCUCAUGUGUUACAUUAGGAUUAUAUGGUACUGCACGCUAUUUUUUCAUGGUGUUUUACGGCUAGGAUUGAUGCUACCCCCUGGAGAAAUAUAGAUCGACAUGCAUAAGGUUUUCCACAUCAUUUAGAUAUGUUCAAAAACAAAAGAUUAUUGUAGAAGUAACACCAUGAGCCAACAGAGAGGAUGUGAAUAAUCUUGAACUACAAGUGUGCAAGUGGCUGCACACACCAUUAUGGCGAGGUGCUGGCAAGAGGUGGAGAUGAGCAUGAAGCUAUUGCUGCUCAAACCAUGUGAAAGGAGCAAAGAUCAACGCCAAAACAUGUAUGUUGUGAAUAAUUUAUCAUGUUCCAAUCUCCAUGCCCUCCUCCUCCCACGCCAAGUUUCCUCCCUUCAUGCAUCCUCUCCCAACCAUGGCGCUUUUGCCAUGGACCUGGUCGUUGCCGCCAUCGUCCUGGUGCAGGGGAGGAGUGUUGGCUGCCAGAGGCCAUCCAAGGCGCCAUCGCCGCCAUCCUUCGGGUCCUCUCGCCGCUUCCUCUGCCUUGCUAGAUGAGUUGUUGCUUGGUCCUCUCUCUCAUGGAAGUGCUGAUGCUCCUUUUGUCUCUAAUUUAUCACAAGCCGCUCUCCUUUUUUAUGUGUAUGUGUGCGUUCUGAUGUAGAUAUAUUGUUGCGGGCAAACUGUUCGAUGAUAUGCUUAUGAGGCAUGGAAACGUUCAUCCUUAUGGAUCUAUGGUUACAUCAGCAAGGAAGAUAUGCAUAGCUUUUCCUAUAAUGAAAAAUGGCCAUCGGAAACGUUCCAUGCCGCGCACAGGACCAGUAACCUCCACACCUAUCAAUUGGUUCCCUCUAGCCCCUGGUGUUUUUUAUACUACAGAGCAUGAAUAUAUUUUAUCAUUGUUUUGUAGUACGUCGUAUUAUCAGUAAAAUAGUUUGUUUGAUGGCUUAUAUAUGCACUUCUUCUUUUCAGGUUCAAUUUAGAGCCAUUGAUCUAUCAUAAAGCAUGAUGAUAAGUGUACUGCGGCAUGCAGGUUACUGUUGUUUGGACCAUGCAUCACAUAUUGUGGACUCUGAUCUUGCUGCCAAUUGAUGGACAUGAGUUUGAGGAAAACUACCAGCUUCCAUGAUUCAAUGCGUGUUGGACGCCUAUAUAUAGUGCAGAUUUCUGCUUAAUUAAUUAUUCUCUUGCACAUUCUUGGUAAGCUUUAAGAUCUGAUUUCAUCAAAUAUUCACUUGGGGGGCCAGUUUGCUCAUAAUCCGGAAACACAGAAGGUUAAGCUCUUCUAUUGAUAUUUCAAGCUAUAGUAUGUCUAAUGUGAGAAUUUCUUCGCCGGUUGUUAUUUUGAAUCUCUCUGUAUUUUAUCUUGCAUGUUGGUGCUGCCGUAGACUUCUCUUUCAAAUUUCAUUCGCAUAUAUGUGCUGGCAUUCUCAUAAGAUUCACACCUGUAUCAUGCAGGUUGUUGAGAUUCUAAAAAAUUUCAUCCUUGAUGCGAUGAUGAAGCCCAACCAUAAGUACGAGACCUACUCACAUGGCCGAGUAGGUAAAAUAGUGGCCACCAUCACAUUCUACCCAUCAAUUCACCGCCCUUGUCCUGCCUAUGGGAGUCUUAGCUGUGUAGAAGUCGUAUGGACAGUUUUGAGGAUGCAAAUAAGAUAAUAAAGGAUAAUCCAUGCUAAAUUAUUAUAAAUUUUAGAUUCCAUACACAUUCUCUCUUCUCUGUUAAAGCACCUCUCAUGGUCUCAUAGCUCAAAUGUGAUAUCAUCAAACCUAUCACUUAGAUUAUUGUGCUAUCUUAUUCUCGAGCGAGCUUUUGUUGAUUACAUAUCUAUAUGGGUUAUCCCUAGACCUAGAAAAGGGUCUAAAAUAUUUUCAACAUGGUUUACG